GUCCAAGUGUACCCUAAUCUAUGUGUGUGGGUGUAUCAAAGAUGUGUAUGUGUGCUUGUGUGUUUAUUUAUAAGAAAAUUUUUUUUAGUUCACUGAGCCGACUUCGUAAGUGACCUUUCUGAUCAAAUGUUGUCUGGUUUUUUUGUCCAUCUGUUUUUAGCAUCCUAUGAUUUUUUAAAAAAUUGUUUGCAUUUUUUUUAAAAUAUAUAUAUUUUUGCAAACAUAAUCAAUGUGAUGAAGGGAAAUAGGAGACAAUUGUCAAAAUUGACAUGGCGGCACUUUCUUUUCGUAAAUUUUAUAAGUGUGAACAAAAAUAUGUGCAUGAUUUGAUGAUUUUGUAUUUGGUACCAUAUACAUGUUGCUACUUGGGUCUGACUCAAUGGAAGGUCAGUGUUUAACAAUUUUGCUCAGGUGAGAAAUGUCGCUUAUGGACCUUUUGUUUCUACACCCACCUACUAAGCACUAGAUUUUAUGUAAAAUACCUGGUAUUCAAACAGUCAUCCUGCAUUUUGAUUUUUGAUGUUAUUUUUAUAUAAAAGCUAAAUGAAGUUUGUUGUAGUCAAUGCAUGAAAACAAAUGUAAUCCUGGGUUUUUAUGUUCAAAAGUCAUCUUAUUUCUUUCAUGUUGUCAAUUUCUUUUCUGGAAUUAACAUCGAUAAAAUUGCAGAUGUUGAAAUGUAAAUUGAAGUACUGUUGUGAUUUUAAUUUAAGACAUGUUGUAAAUUUAUAUUUGUGAAACAUUUGAACACAAGAACAAAAAUUUAAAGAAAAAAAAUGUAUUGUAAUAGCUCUCUUAUAUAGAUUUUUCUAGUGUAUUUAAAAUGAACUUGAUUUAAACCUGCAUACAGUGUACUUAAAAUUGUGACAAAAUUAGACUGGUUUAAUUUCAAUGCUAAUUUUCAAAAAUAUGAUUUAAUGAUUUUAAUACAAAACACUGAGACAACUUCUGUAUGAUCUAAAUAUUUAGAUUUCAAAAAGGGCUUUUUUAUUAAAAUGUUGUUGUUGGAGAAGUUAGGCAUCUGGUGGGGAAAUUGAAUGUGUAUCAACUUGGUAAAAUGGCGGCUAGUUCUGAGUGUUUUAUGUGUCUGCCUCUGUUGUUUGGUCUGGUUGUACAUCAACCAUGUGAUCUUUGUUUAUAUUGCAAAUAAAAAUAUGUAUGUC
rnacentral:sRNA from 1 species